rnacentral:miRNA from 1 species
GACGUUGUAGGGUGUUUGUGUGUGAAUGUGUGUGUGUGAGUGUGUGUGUGUGCGUGCACUGGCCAUCCACCAUUCAUAGGCGCUUACUAA